GGGUAAAGCCAAUGAUUAGAGG
rnacentral:snRNA from 1 species